UACGGGGGGGGCAAGCGUUGUUCGGAAUUACUGGGCGUAAAGGGCUCGUAGGCGGCCAACUAAGUCAGACGUGAAAUCCCUCGGCUUAACCGGGGAACUGCGUCUGAUACUGGAUGGCUUGAGUUCGGGAGAGGGAUGCGGAAUUCCAGGUGUAGCGGUGAAAUGCGUAGAUAUCUGGAGGAACACCGGUGGCGAAGGCGGCAUCCUGGACCGACACUGACGCUGAGGAGCGAAAUCCAGGGGAGCAAACGGG
rnacentral:rRNA from 1 species